AAGAGUGAUCCAUGUAGAAAUAAAAUUAGUGAAGUAUUCUACAUCAGGUUUCUUGCAGACGGAUGUAGAAGGGUUAUCAAAUUCUUCCCUUCCCGCGAACGCGCAAUAGAAGCAUUCAUCUCAGUCUCACAACAGAGUCUCAGACGCACACUCAUCUCAACACUCUCUACAGUGUCGAACGCACCCUCUCGCACACUCUCAGACGCAAACCCUCUCAACACUCUCAGCCCUAAAGAGGUCUCUACAGUCCAGGCUCGCUGAUCUUCAAUGAACGACUGUCCAAGGAAGCAUUGAAACCCUCUUCGAAGAACGACAACUGUAGGGUUUGGAGACAUUCCCGGAAGAGCUUUCCCGAAAUGCGGUGGUCCUAUCAGAGUUUAUUCAUCAACGUGACAUCUAUUUCUGAG